UACGAAGGGGGCUAGCGUUGCUCGGAAUCACUGGGCGUAAAGGGUGCGUAGGCGGGUCUUUAAGUCAGGGGUGAAAUCCUGGAGCUCAACUCCAGAACUGCCUUCGAUACUGAGGAUCUUGAGUUCGGGAGAGGUGAGUGGAACUGCGAGUGUAGAGGUGAAAUUCGUAGAUAUUCGCAAGAACACCAGUGGCGAAGGCGACUUACUGGACACAUAUUGACGUUGAGGUGCGAAAGCGUGGGGAGCAAACAGG
rnacentral:rRNA from 1 species